AGAAAUUGCUGCGUCGAAGUUACAAUAUCCCUUUUGCGAACUGGAUAUACCUCAGUACCUGAAUUUUGGAGCCAUUGGUUAUGUUAUUGGUCACGAAUUUGAGCAUGGACUUCAUGACAGUGGUCAAUAUUAUCUUAAGAAUGGCAAGCAGUUUUUCUGGUGGAGAAAUGAAACACAAGGAAACUUGAGAAUCAGAGACAAGUGCUUCAUUGACCAAUAUAAUAAUUACAGUAUUAAUGGAGAAAAGGU